rnacentral:rRNA from 1 species
UACAGAGGGGGCAAGCGUUAUUCGGAAUUAUUGGGCGUAAAGGGCGCGUAGGCGGCUAUUCAAGUGGCGGGUGAAAUCCCUCGGCUUAACCGAGGAACUGCCUGCCAGACUGGAUGGCUUGAGACCGGGAGAGGUGAGUGGAAUUCCCAGUGUAGCGGUGAAAUGCGUUGAUAUCCUAAGGAACACCGGUGGCGAAAGCGGCUCACUGGAUCUCUUCUGACGCUGAGGCACGAAAGCUAGGGUAGCAAACGGG